rnacentral:snRNA from 1 species
GUACUUGCUUCCACAGCACAUAUACUAAAAUUGGAAUGAUAGAGAGAAUAUUAGCAUGGCCCCUGCACAAGGAUGACACACAAAUUUGUGAAGAGUUCCAUAUUUUU